CCUACGGGAGACAGCAGUGGGGAAUAUUGCACAAUGUGGGAAACCCUGAUGCAGCGACGCCGCGUGAGUGAAGAAGUAUUUCGUUACGUAAAGCUCUAUCAGCAGGGAAGAAAAUGACGGUACCUGACUAAGAAGCCCCUGCUAACUACGUGCCAGCAGCCGCGGUAAUACGUAGGGGGCACGCGUUAUCCGGAUUUACUGGGUGUAAAGGGAGCGUAGACGGCAGCGCAAGUCUGGAGUGAAAUCCCAUGGGUUAAACAUGGAACUGCUGUGGAAACUGUGCAGCUGGAGUGCAGGAGAGGUAAGCGGAAUUCCUAGUGUAGCGGUGAAAUGCGUAGAUAUUAGGAGGAACACCAGUGGCGAAGGCGGCUUACUGGACUGUAACUGACGUUGAGGCUCGAAAGCGUGGGGAGCAAACAGGAUUAGAUACCCUUGUAGUC
rnacentral:rRNA from 1 species